rnacentral:rRNA from 1 species
UACGUAGGCAGCGAGCGUUGUUCGGAGUUACUGGGCGUAAAGGGUGUGUGGGCGGUUUUUUAAGUUUGGUGUGAAAUCUCCCGGCUCAACUGGGAGGGUGCGCCGAAUACUGAAAGACUAGAGUACGGGAUAGGAAAGUGGAAUUCCUGGUGUAGCGGUGAAAUGCGUAGAUAUCAGGAGGAACACCGGUGGUGUAGACGGCUUUCUGGACCGUAACUGACGCUGAGACACGAAAGCGUGGGUAGCAAACAGG